ACAGACUCGGACUAUUUGUUGGAGUGUAGGAGGAUGGGGUGUAUAAGAUCAUGAGGGAAAUAAAUAGGGUGAAUGCGUAGAAUCUUUUACUCAGAGUAGGGAAAUGAAGACCAAGAGGACAUAAGUUUAAGUUGAAAGGGAAAAAUUUUAAAGGAACCUGAAGUGCAUCUCAUUACAUAGUAAUGGGUAAGUGAAUGAGCUGCUGGAGGAGGUAGUUGACGCAGUUACUAUAACAACAUUUAAAAGGCAUUUGGACAGGUACAUGGAUAGGAAAGGUUUAGAAGGAUAUUGGCCAAAUGCAGGAUGGGGGACUAGUGUAAAUGGGGCGUCUUGGUUGGCAUGUGAAAGUAGGGCCGAAGGGCCUGUUUCCAUGAUGCAUGACUCUAUGUGAAAUUAUGAGGUUUACCAGGAGAAACAGAUGGAUUAUUGAGCUCCAAAAUGGCAAUGUGGCUGUCAAGUCAGCAUUGGAUGCUGACUAAUAUCCCCAUCUGCCUAAUUAGCAUGCUUUUAGCAAACAUCAUCUCCACAUUCACACUAAUGCAUUGACCACUAUGACUUUUGGCAAAAUUGCCCCAUAUAACAGAUGAUGUAAUCGUCUGAUGUUAUGGGUGCCAAAAGUUGUCAUUAUUUAGCCAAAUUUAGCAACUAAUAUCUGUAGUGGCAGAUAAUAUUAUUUUAAGAUAGCAUUGUAUAUUUCUAUAAUUUCAAAAGGAAAGCAGAAGGAUUCUGGCAACACAGAGAAUUAAUGCAGAUGCAGUAUUGUGCUAUUUUUUUUAUAACUGCAUACAAACAUAGUCUGCAAGGGUGAUUAAAUGAAAGGAUUCAAAGAGGCUCUAUAUGCUGCCAACUAAUAUCAUCCUGUCACUUCACAUUUCCUGACAGCUAUUGUGCGACAGUAACUUGAAAAUUGAUUUGUUCUUUAAAUGUAAAGAAGAUCAGUGGGAGGGAGUGGGAGGUGGCUCAUCUAAUUUAUUAAAUGUCUCCAGUAUUAUUCAAAUAGUCACAAUGUACGUGCAAAUACUCAAAACUCAAGGAUGAAAGUGGCACCAGGAACAGAAAUAUAAACAUUAAUUAAUUCAGAAAUGCACUGCAAGCAGGUAUCUAACCUUCCCGAAGCACAAAUUUGAAUAUAUAUUCACAACAAAUGUUUAUUUGCAAAGUAGUUACUGACUCAACAUGAUUAAUGUUUGCAGUGUUUUACUAAAUUUUAAUCUUGAUUCAAUGUAUUGAGUUUUGCUUUGUUAAAUUGAUUAAUUGGACUUGGACAGCGCAGGUCAUUAUGAAACACUAAAAAUAUAGCAAGGUGGAUAUUUUUUAUUGAACAACUCAUGAUUAACUGAAUGAAGGCACUUUGUCUGACACUGUUCUACAUUAGUCAUUCAGCUGCACAAUUGUUUCUUAAUGCUCAAUUAAAUUUUCAAUCCCUUGGAGGAAAUUUCUCUGCCUUCAGCAAUGGAAGCUAAUAUUCAGAAGGAAAUUUAUGAUACGUGAAAACAGCGCUUAAAGUAGUAUCACAAAUACACUGCUCCUUCUGUAGCUCUGUAUUACAUGAAAGCAUCAGGAAGCAUCCUGACCUCUAUCAUUGACCUUGGUCUAAUUUGUAUAAAGGUCACAAAGCUCCCGGGAGAUGGGGUGGUGACUCAGAUGAGGAGAAAUUUAGGACAUUUCCAGAGGAAGGAAAACAAUAGUGCAGGGUAGCAAAAUGGAUAAUGGCAACCAGACUGUUGGGAAGCAGUGCAUACAAACAAAGAGGUAAACCUCAGAUUACUCUCGGAGCAGCCGGAAAUGCUACAAAAACUGAAACCUCUUUAUCUGAAUGCAGGCAGCAUGAUAGUUAUUUCAGGAAACACAGAAGUGUUUGAGUAAGGAGUAGCAACAUGAUAAAUCACCAGACAGAACACUGAAAUUCUUACUAGCGGCAGCAAAAACAGAACAUGUGAACAUAGUACUCUGCAAACAAAUAAUAAACAAGAAAAAAAAAGCAAAUUGUGUUGAUUUGCUCAUUAAUGACAGCACGGGCCUUACAUUUAUCAUCCAAAGCCUCAUCACAGCAAAGGAUUAGCAGGUGGACAGAAGAAAUGAGUCGAGAAUAUCCCGAAAAAUUUCCUUGAAGAAAAUGCUAAAUCUUCGCUGACUAGUAGAAAACCCUGGCUGGUGACUGGGAGAAGAAGCGUUUAGGAUGGCAGUAAGAACCUCAAAUCUCUUCCUUGGGAUGCUCAUAGAAGCCCAGUGAAAGCUACAGAAGGAGCUCCAACCCCGCAAACUAACAUCACACCCGAGCAUCCCAACAGGCACCUCCUGCUCCAACUGCCAGAAAGUGUACAGGUCCCACAAUGGCCUCAUCGGUCUCUUCAGAAUCCACAGAACUAUAGCUGAAGCAAGUCAUCUUUGACCCAAGUGAAUGGCUAACAAUUUGGGCUGGACUUGUUAAGGAUGCAGAUUUCCUUUCCUGGAACACUCUAAUAAACCAAACUGGUUUUGGAAGUGGUCACCAGAAGUAUUUCCGACAUUUAUUUAAUUACAAGAAUUUAACACCUAUCAUAUCACAUGCUGCAUUCCAAGAGUCCAUUGUUCAUUGAGUGACAGGUAUGAAUAUUUUUCACAUUGUGGCAACCUAGUGAAGGCUAAGUAAAUUGGGGGGAUUAGUGAUUUUUACAAGGCAAUUUCAUCCAUGUUUAUAAACUCCACGACUGGAUUGAGGAGGUUUUUGUCAUUGACAGUUUGACUGAUGAUCACAAAACAUUAUUACAGCAGCAGCAUUAUUGACAACUCUCCUCAAUCCUACAGAUGAGAUUCUAUUGCAACAAUCUGCACAUCUCGAAAAUGGCCAGUUAUCUGAUUUCAUUAACUUGUUUAUAUCAGCAGACUCAUCAAAAAGUUUAGUCCUCCACAGAUCUGUAAGAUGUUUGUGAUUUUCUAUGGUAAAUAGGAAUUGAUCUCCAAAGGUGUUUCUUUUAGAUAACAUAGUUUGCUAUUUUAUGAAGGAUUUGACUGGAUAAACGUAGAUGCCUUGGAGGGCAUCUACUACACGCGGUGCCUCAGGAAGGCCGUCAGCAUCCACAAAGACUCCUCACACCCUUGCAAUAGUCUGUUCGAACUCCUACUUUCCGGCAGACGUU